ACAGUUUCCACAGCUGUAGAUGGACGCUUAGGCAAAUUGUGUUUCGGAAAGAAGCUGCCUUAUGUAGAUGCUCUAAACGCCAAGAA
rnacentral:rRNA from 1 species